GGGAGUUUGGCCCAGCCGGUACAGUGCAUCCUGACGUACAGUCAGGAGGGUCGGGGGUUCGAAUCCCUCAACUCCCA
rfam:Lunatimonas lonarensis strain AK24 S14_contig_27, whole genome shotgun sequence.